GGGCCUAUAGCUCAAUUGGUAGAGCGGGGGACUCUUAAUCCACAGGUUCCAGGUUCAAGUCCUGGUAGGCUCA
rnacentral:tRNA from 1 species